UUUGAACUCGUGCGAGUCGAGUUUGCAGGACUCAAUAUUGUUGUUUAUUAUCAGUAUUUCUUUAUAUCCAUACGGAUGGAUUCGUACAGUCUGAAAACCGACUACUAUUUCGUCUACAACUAAAAGAUUACUUCUACUGCUGUAACAGGAUAAACCCUUGAGUGAAUAAAUAGUUGAGUUUAA